rnacentral:lncRNA from 1 species
CUUCACAGAGGUUUUAUUCGCACUCCGGAUACCCGCGCUGCCCUCCCACCCCGCUCACCCCCAGGAAAGACCUCCGCACCCUCACCCUGUCCUCCCCGAGCGGUGCCCAUUGAUUCGGCCCCUGGAUCUCCAGGAGGGGACAAGGCCACCAUCUUGCGGCCACCAGCACCACUGCACACACCCACCCGAGCGCACGGUCACACACGGGGCUACAGGGCUUGGACCGUGGCGAGCUGCCACAUCCCACCGCUCUUCGUGCCCUCAGUCCCCCGGACCAUGUCCUGCCGGGCACACGCUGUCCCUCCCCUCGCUCCCUGGCCAGGAAACUCGGGGAUUCCAGCACACCCAGGAGUAUCUGGAUGGGCAGAGGAUGCCGGCAUGCUGCUCCCAUCCCAGAUCGGGCAGAGGAUGCCGGCAGUGCUGCUCCCAUCCCAUCCCAGAUCGGGCAGAGGAUGCCGGCAGUGCUGCUCCCAUCCCAGCUCUGGCCCCUCCACCCCCACCCCGCUGCUCUGUGCGGUGUCAGCCAGCAGUGACCAGGGACCUCCUGGUUUGCACAGCGGGCUUCAUUGAGCACAGAAAGGCAGGCAGUGGCAGAUGAAGGCUCAGAACUGAGCCCUGGGGCUGAAAACGCAGCACUGAGCAGGGUCCAAGGGGAAUUUCCAUCUCUAUCACAGCCUAGGAGGGCAGCCCACAUGAGGUCUGCUGGAGGGAGUUGUUAAACCAGUGCUGCUGGUGACCAGCAGCCCAAAGCAAGUCCUUCCAUGCCUCUGUGAAGCGAGCUGGGGUCAUCUGCACACUACUGGGUUCUGCAAGGCUGCCCAGCCUGGUUUAAUGCUCAUCCCCCUCCUUCUGCUUCCUCCCCUUGUGAUGGAGCUGGCCAUGGUCUCCAUGGUGGUGGUGAGCAUGGGUAGCAGGUUUGUGGUCCUCACUUGGGUUUGUGUCCCUCUCGCUGUUGACCUCGUGAUGGCGUUGAGGAUGGAGGGGCUUGUGCUGGUGGACGGGGGUCUCUGACUCCAUCCCCUCGUGUUCAGGAAGGGAGCUUGGGGUUGCAGGGCCCUCCAUGGUG